UCCACCUGGUCCUUGGAAAAAACAAGACAACCCUCCCAGGAGCCUAUGCGACCUUCCCAACAAACCGCCUGGAAAGACGCCAUCUCUCUUGGCCCGGCAGGAACCGGCUUCUACCCCUGCCCGCCCUGGAAACUGCCCACCCUGGAAACUACCCGGCCAGAGCCACCCGUGGCCACUCCUCAUCCACUGGACCUGCCUGUGUUCUCCUGUCAUCACCCGACUCCCACACGGGCUGUGCGCCCAGCUGCCUGGCCCUGCUCUCCACUGCCCCUCUCAAAGGCUCAAGCCACACUCCCCUGGCCCCCACCCUCUAGUCCACCCCCCACCCCUCCCAGACUCAGGAAGGACAGAUCUUCACCCAGGAGCCUGGGGGAUGACUCCCUGAGCUUCAGGUUCAGGCUGACUUAACCUGGUCCCCUGGACGUCCCAACACGGGACCUACCCCCUCCUCUCUGAAAACCUGUGCCUCGUCCCGCCUCAAGGACCCUCCAGCCACCCAGGCAGCCAUGUGAGAACAGGCCUCAUCCCCUCCUGACAGCUGCACACAGGUUUUUUUUUUUAAGAUUUUUUUUGGAUCUGGACCGUUUGUAAAGUCUUUACUGAAUUCGUUACAAUAUUGUUUCUGUUUUAAGUUUGGGUUCUUCUGGCUCUAGGGCAUGUGGGACCUUAGCUCUCCAACCAGGGAUGGAACCUGUACCCUCUGCAUUGGAAGGUGAAGUCUUACCACUGGACCACCAGGGAAGACCCUGCACGCAGGUUUCUAUAGCUCUGGACCUCUGUCCUGCCCCGCCCCCACCUCCCUGGAGCUUCAGGGAGAGCCAGCUCUCUGCAUUCCAAGGCAGACCUUCCUCCCUCAAUCAGUCAGUGGGAAUUUGGUGGACAGUUUGCCCCAAGUCAGGCACUGGACUGAAGAGCCAAGAUCCAGGUCCUCAGAGCGAAGAGGGAAGGAAAGGACGCAAGGCAGCUUUCAGUUCCCUGUGGACAGAACCUUCUAGAAGUUCCUUCAUUGCCUGGCUGACUCCUCCUCAUCCCUCAGGGCCAGAAAGACAGGUGGUGACAAGCCAGCCCCAGUGGAGCCCAACUCUGCCCUUCGCCACCCUCGACAGGCAGAGAGGGGAGAGGAUGUGAGUGGCUCUGGGAGGUGCACCAGCCACCCACGAAGUUUCCGUCCUGGGUGGGCCCAUCCUGGGCUCCAAGUCUGGUCCAGGACAAGCUGAGGAAGACACCACAAGUCCUAGGCCAAGUCCCGCCUCCCACGACCGAGCCCUGACAAAGACUCCUGCCUGUGGACAUCCCCAUCUCCAAGGAACCUGCCCAAAGCCACCUUGGGGACCAGCACACCAUCCCUCCUAGCAGAACUUGGCCGCAUCCUGCAGUUGAGACAGGCUCCCCAGCCCACAUAUCCUGAUUCAGCGGGUCUGGGCUAAGUUGUGGGGGGGUGCGGGGGAAGCCGCCUGGGAAUCUGGAUUUUCAUCCAGCUCCUCCCCCAGGUGCUCCUGGGAACCAUAGCUGCAGACCCCAGACUCAGGGGCGCCAGACUGUCCUGAGACACAUACUCCCACCCUGCCAUGGGCCACUCACC